rnacentral:rRNA from 1 species
AUUGAACGCUGGCGGCAGGCCUAACACAUGCAAGUCGAACGAGUGGCGGACGGGUGAGUAAGGAAUGGGAAACUUGCUGAUGGAGGGGGAUAACUACUGGAAACGGUAGCUAAUAACGCAUAGCAUCAGAUGGGCCCAGAUGGGAUGUGCUUGGUGGUGGGGUAAAGGCUCACCAAGGCGACGAUCCCUAGCUGGUCUGAGAGGAUGACCAGCCACACUGGAACUGAGACACGGUCCAGACUCCUACGGGAGGCAGCAGUGGGGAAUAUGGCACAAUGGGCGCAAGCCUGAUGCAGCCAUGCCGCGUGUGUGAAGAAGGCCUUCGGGUUGUAAAGUACUUUCAGUAGGGAGGCGUUACCUGCAGAAGAAGCACCGGCUAACUCCGUGCCAGCAGCCGCGGUAAUAC